ensembl:lncRNA
CACGGAUGUCUGAAGCAGAGGAAGUCGUAGGAGUGAAAUAGGACAGACCCAGGAGGACACACUGGGUCUGGUCACUGAGGGAUGUGAGUGACAGGGAGGGUGAGUCAGAAUCCUCAGAGGCUUUUGGGAAGCAGCAAGGGUUGCAGAACUAGAACAGGACAGAAGGAAAGGAGAAGGAGACACGGCAUUCUGGCUAUGCUGUAAAAGACAGACUGGGAGGUACCAGUAGGAUCCCGUUCUGCAGCACUCCUGGUUCACCUGUUCGGGUUUACCGAUAAUACCUUGUGAGUGCCAGGCCCGGGGAUAAGAGCUGUGUGGAGCAGCAGGCAGUGGCUGUUCUUUCUCAGGUGGGGUGGGGAAACCGGGACCGAGCAACUCGAAAGUCUAUUGGCUGGAUCACCUACUCACAUCGAGCACCUCUCUCCAUCAAGGCCCAUGCUUAAAUCGAUGCCGAGUCCAGCUCUUCAGACCAGCUUGGUCUCCUUUUCUGUGACCUUGCCAACAACCCCUGCUUCACCUGAGUAGAUAGGUCUACACCGGGAAUCCCUGCGUCCACUUCAGGCACCAGCGUGCUCGCGGUCUCCAGCCACACCCUAUGCUGCUGAGAGAUAGGAGAGAAAGCCAAAGGAACCGCAGUGUUCGACCUCGCACAAAUGCCAGAGCUCACGGAAUUGGGUCAGGAGAAGCCCUCUCAGAAGAAAGCUGGGAAACCAGAAGCAAGGCUAACUCGGACGGCAGUUUUGCUCCGCCCUCCGUAGGAGAGACCAGCCCAGCCUGAACCAGCCCAGAGCAGUGACUGAGAUGACAAUUAGGAGCAGGAAGCUGGCCAAGCCUCUGAAAAUCUGGGGAUGAAGGGGUCCGGAAGCCAGAAGAAGGUGUUGGAUCCCCUGGAACUAAAGUUUCAGACAGUUGUGAGCUGCUAUGUGGGUGCUGGAAAUCGAAUCCCAGCCCCUCUGGAAAAGCAGCCAAUGAACACCUGAGCCAUCUCUCCAGCUAUGCACCCUUCCCCACAGAACUUAAAAGAAAUUUUUUCCACUGGGCUACGGUGGUGCACAGUUUCAAUCCCAGCACUCGGGAGGCAGCUGAGGGUUUAUUGAGCAUGUACUAUAUACCUACCUCUCUGUCUUUGCUGCAACACUAUGAAUUAGAGACAACACUUUCACUCUUAAGGCAGGUGGAUCUCUGGUAGUUCAAGACCAGCCUGGUCUACACAGAGUGCCAGGACAGCCAGGGCUACACAGAGAAACCCAUUUCUCAAGAAACAAAACAAAACAAAAAACCCCAGCCCCUGCCAAAAAACCCCGCUAAUUUGGCACAGAUUUUGAUGAUGGGUGUUACUAACUCUGAGCCAGUUAAGCAAAAUAUUAUCCUCUCCAAGAAUUUCAUUCCUCCUAUUAGUAGGCAAAAAAAAAGUAUUUUUAAGAUUAUGCUAAUUACAUCUUGAAUUUUGUCAGCAUAAAUUUUGUGCAGACAUCAUGUAAGUGCUUACACGGUAAACUCCACUGUACCUUUUAGGGAGCAAGGCUCUGAUAUUUUCUACCUGGCUCUUAACAGAGUGUGGACCUAGAGGCUGCACAGCCACUAUAACUGUGCCAGUUUCCUUUACGGUUAGACAACAUGGCCGGCAGAGGUAUCUGGCAUGGGCCAUGAUGGCAGACAUUGGAUACUGGGUGUGGCUUAUUAGUCAUUACAAAAUGGCUAACACCAGCUGUCCAGAAAACCCCCAAAACAAGCAGUGGCAUACUUUGUUAUGUCACUUUUGUGUGGGUUUUGUGUCGACACGGCCUUGAGGUGGGGUCAAGUGCCUUGGCUUCCCUGACACGAUGGAUUGUAAUCUGAAAUUCUCUCCUCAUUUGUCAGGGUGCCUCGUCAGGGCAAUCAGAAAUGGAAGUAAUGCACAUAUGUUCCCCAGCGGGUUUUAUUGGUAUUUAAGAUUUUAUUUUUAUUUUCUGUGUAUGAAUGUCUGUCAGCAUGUAUGCGUGUGCACCACGCCCGGUGCCCACAGAGGUCAGAAGAUGUCAUCUUAUCUGCUGUGACUGGAACUAGGGGGUGUGAGAGCCGUCACGCGAGGUCCUCAGCAAGAGCGACCAGCGCUCAAGACAUCUUUGCAGCUCCAUUUUCUUUUAAUUUCUGUGCUGCAUUUGGUUUUAAGGGACUGAUAAUGUACAGACCAGGACUUUGUUGUUGUAGUUGUUUCUUCGAGACAGGGGUUUCUCUGUGUAGCCCUGGCUGUCCUGGAACUUGCUCUGUAGACUGACUAAGCUGGCCUUGAACUCCACCUGAUUCAAGAGUGGAACUGUGUUGUUCCUAAUUGAUAGUGUUGCAGCAAAGGCAGAGAGGUAUGUAGUACAUGCUCAAUAAACACUCGCCCACUGAGGAAAUGAAUGAGAACUCGCUCUCACAGCGAAAGUCUGUGCUGUGAUAACCGCUGUCGUGUUAAAAUCUCACACGGAGCUUACAGUGUGCAUGUGUGUGUUUGAGUCUCAGAGACAGUAUGGCCAACUAUGUGACUUUGGGGGAAAAAAAUCUAUACAACUUCUCUGUGUCUUGAGGGUCAGAGCAGCCCCCCUUUUGUAGGUUUGCCUGUAAAUAAAUAAUAUUAGUUCCAUUUUUAAACCCCAUCACCUGUCAUUUCCUUUUCCUGUAUGGUGGGAGUUUGGCUUGUUUGUUUGUUUCGUUUCUUAACCCAGCAUACGCCCACAGUGCUUAACCACAAUAAAUUCUAAUGGCCAGUCUAAGAGGUGGCAGGCACCCCUGUAGCCCCGGACACAACCCAAGAGUCGGAGGCCACGAUGGGACACAGGGUGAGCCCUGAUUCAAAUGAAACAAAUUCCCAACCCUCGUUCCUCACCUGAUGCUUGCGCUUUGGGCUGCCACCAGGCCACUCUUUAGAGUCCUUGGCCUUUGGGGUCUAUCAUCCGUUCUCCAUAUGUCACCUGGCACACACACCUGACACUUUUUUUUUUUUUCCUGUGUGUGUGGGGAAUUAUGCUUAUGUCCUACACGCAUGUUUCCGAGUGUAUUAGGACCCUUCGUCCUGCAUUCUCCCAGGUGGGGGUGGGGGGCAAGUUAAAUGAACCCACGACUAUGUAAACAUUUUAAAAUAACACCUUGUAACCAGAAGUCAUAAAUCUCGAUCCCUCUCCAUCCAGAGGUGCCCGGAGAUUGCUAGCUUAAGUCUCAAGACACGGAGAUGCCUGAAAUGCCACAGGUCCCAAUACGUACUCUCUGUCCUGUGUUUAACCUUCGGCUAUAAAAAAAAAAAAGGAGCUUGUAGCCCUCCCUCGAGGCCUCAGAGUCAAAUAAUUCCAGUUAGCGGUAUUUUCCCCCUGCAGUGUUUUUGAAUAAAGUUGUUUCUAGUUAAUAGA